ACCCGAUCCUAAGCCAUAGGAAUCCAACUUGUAACACAUCGCAUCUCUUUGCCGUCUCAUGCACGGUUAUCCCCACGGCUGCAGCCUUACCUUAGCCGGGACCGUUUGCGCCUUUUGACUCGCGUAUGCAAUUGUGUCGCUAGCAAUCCAAUGACAAAGAACCCGGAUCGACAUGUCUAGUCAUAAACCAAAGCGGCAAUUCCGCACAGGGACAGACAUACAUGACCCAACAAAGCAGGUGUCGGUCACCACCGAAUGUAGACGAGUCGUAGCAAGGUACAAGGACUCCAUUACAUCGCGUGACAUUUCCCCAACGGGGACAGACACAUCAGCUAAGAAGGACAC
rnacentral:lncRNA from 1 species